rnacentral:rRNA from 1 species
GACGAACGCUGGCGGCGUGCUUAACACAUGCAAGUCGAACGGAAAGGCCCUGCUUUUGUUGGUUGCUCGAUUGGCGAACGGGUGAGUAACACGUGAGUAACCUGCCCUUGUCUUUGGGAUAACUUCAGGAAACUGGGGCUAAUACCGGAUAGGAGCUCCUGCUGCAUGGUGGGGGUUGGAAAGUUUCGGCGGUUGGGGAUGGACUCGCGGCUUAUCAGCUUGUUGGUGGGGUAGUGGCUUACCAAGGUUUUGACGGGUAGCCGGCCUGAGAGGGUGACCGGCCACAUUGGGACUGAGAUACGGACCAGAAUCCUACGGGAGGCAGCAGUGGGGAAUAUUGCACAAUGGGCGGAAGCCUGAUGCAGCAACGCCGCGUGCGGGAUGACGGCCUUCGGGUUGUAAACCGCUUUCGCCUGUGACGAAGAGUGAGUGACGGUAAUGGGUAAAGAAGCACCGGCUAACUACGUG